CGACAACCAUUUAUACGUCUUUAAAUAUUAAUGCUGGUGCCAAAGAACACAAAGCAAAUGCAAUGUUCAGAGCCCAAAUUGACUAAGAAUUCCCGCAGAGGCACAGGCUGAGAUGAAGUUUCUUCACACUGGUGGAUCUGGUCUGGUGAUGCCCAUUGCUGGAGGGGUCACACCAGGAAGUGAAUGGACCCAUAGGGAAGAGUGUCUGUCAACAAUCAACAGGUUUAGAUUAGCCCAGGAAGUGACUGGAAGGUGUUAUCGCCACACGGAGGGGUGAAGAGGUUGAUGGAUCUGCAGAGAAAAGCCGUCAGCGAGCGGAGGAGGCCUCGCUCCCCUUUGCCUCCAGUUCAUACUGAACGCUGCUCUAAGGAACACACCAGACUGAGCAAAGGCAGAGUUUGUAUCUUAACGUAAUUGAACAUAAAGUCUUGUCCAUAAAAUCAAAAUAAAGUUGCCUGAUUCGUCCCAA